UCGGGAAUUUUGGGCAAUGGGCGAAAGCCUGACCCAGCAACGCCGCGUGAAGGAUGAAGUAUUUCGGUAUGUAAACUUCGAAAGAAUAGGAAGAAUAAAUGACGGUACUAUUUAUAAGGUCCGGCUAACUACGUGCCAGCAGCCGCGGUAAUACGUAGGGACCAAGCGUUGUUCGGAUUUACUGGGCGUAAAGGGCGCGUAGGCGGCAAUUCAAGUCAUCUGUGAAAUCUCCGGGCUUAACUCGGAACGGUCAGAUGAUACUGCUUUGCUAGAGUGCAGAAGGGGCAAUCGGAAUUCUUGGUGUAGCGGUGAAAUGCGUAGAUAUCAAGAGGAACGCCUGUGGCGAAGGCGGCCACCUGGUUGGAUACUGACGCUGAGACGCGAAAGCGUGGGGAGCAAACAGGAUUAGAUACCCUUGUAGUCCCUGAGCGGGCUGGCAAGGCGCAU
rnacentral:rRNA from 1 species